CCUAGCCAUUCGGGUCCUUGCGGUGCAUGUUGGCUGCAGUAGGUUCAUUAAUUGUAGGAUUAUAGUGCACACUUAGAUGGAAUCUAUCUCCCUUGGUAGAUAGAGGCGUUAGUCCUAUGUGAUUUAUGAGACCGAUUUUAAAAGACCUUGGUCAGGGCAGAGUUAAUAGCGGAAAAGAGUUUCCGAUAUUAUAAACUCGAGUCGAAUAAAUUUAACAUAUGACAGACGAUGGGGUUGACAAGUUAUUUCAUGACCUCCGUCUAGUUGGGACUCAUGAUAAAAGGACUGUAUCACACGGUAACUGCACCAAGAGGUUCAGUAUUCCAUUCUAUUGGAAUGCCACUAUAUGCUGCUAGGUGUUACUGGUGGAUUGUGAAACUCAUGAGAAUUAUCUAGAUGAUCGAUAAUUCUCAUUAGGCUGAGUUGGUAUUGUUCCGAUCCACUGAAAGGAGUUUUAAUGAUAUUGUUGAUAGUGGUCAAAAUGUAUCUCACUACCAGAUAUAAUAGAACCUAUGGGGUCACACACAUAAGAGGUUGUGGUUGAUCGGAUGGCUAGAUCGUGAUAAUUGAAUCACUAGAGGACCUAAUUGUCAAUAUGUUGAUAAUUGGACUAAUUUAUAAUUGUUACAAAUUAGUGGUAUUAAAGUAUAAAUGUUAUAAGAGAGGACUUACUAAUAGUUAGUAAAUUAUGAGAGGACUUAUGUGCAAAUGAUGCAUUAUUAAUUUGAUAUGAUCAAAUUAAGAUAAAGUUUAAGUUGAAUUAAAUUAGGAU
rnacentral:lncRNA from 1 species